rnacentral:rRNA from 1 species
GUGCGCAGAUUACCAUGCAAGUCGAGCGGUAAGGCCUUUCGGGGUACACGAGCGGCGAACGGGUGAGUAACACGUGGGUGAUCUGCCCUGCACUUCGGGAUAAGCCUGGGAAACUGGGUCUAAUACCGGAUAUGACCUCCUAUCGCAUGGUGGGUGGUGGAAAGAUUUAUCGGUGCAGGAUGGGCCCGCGGCCUAUCAGCUUGUUGGUGGGGUAAUGGCCUACCAAGGCGACGACGGGUAGCCGACCUGAGAGGGUGACCGGCCACACUGGGACUGAGACACGGCCCAGACUCCUACGGGAGGCAGCAGUGGGGAAUAUUGCACAAUGGGCGAAAGCCUGAUGCAGCGACGCCGCGUGAGGGAUGACGGCCUUCGGGUUGUAAACCUCUUUCAGCAGGGACGAAGCGCAAGUGACGGUACCUGCAGAAGAAGCACCGGCUAACUACGUGCCAGCAGCCGCGGUAAUACGUAGGGUGCAAGCGUUGUCCGGAAUUACUGGGCGUAAAGAGUUCGUAGGCGGUUUGUCGCGUCGUUUGUGAAAACCAGCAGCUCAACUGCUGGCUUGCAGGCGAUACGGGCAGACUUGAGUACUGCAGGGGAGACUG